AGAAAUAUGUUAUUCAAAAGAAAGCUUCUAACUUAUCUUUUUAGCAGUGAAAAUCUGUUAAUAUUUC
rnacentral:tRNA from 1 species